rnacentral:rRNA from 1 species
UACGUAGGGCGCAAGCGUUGUCCGGAAUUAUUGGGCGUAAAGAGCUCGUAGGCGGUUUGUCGCGUCUGCUGUGAAAACCCGAGGCUCAACCUCGGGCCUGCAGUGGGUACGGGCAGACUAGAGUGCGGUAGGGGAGACCGGAAUUCCUGGUGUAGCGGUGGAAUGCGCAGAUAUCAGGAGGAACACCGAUGGCGAAGGCAGGUCUCUGGGCCGCAACUGACGCUGAGGAGCGAAAGCAUGGGGAGCGAACAGG